rnacentral:rRNA from 1 species
UGAGUUUGAUCCUGGCUCAGGGUGAACGCUGGCGGCGUGGAUGAGGCAUGCAAGUCGAAUGGGCUUAGACCCAUGGCAGACGAGGUAGUAACACGUAGGUACGUACCCCAUAGUCAGGGAUAACCCGGCGAAAGUCGGAGUAAUACUUGAUAGUCUCUACGGAGUAAAGAUUUAUCGCUAUGGGAACGGCCUGCGGUCUAUCAGCUAGUUGGUACGGUAACGGCGUACCAAGGCUAUGACGGAUAGGGGAGGUGAGAGCCUGACCCCCACCGAUGAAACUGCGACACGGUCCAUACUCCUACGGGGGGCUGCAGUCGAGAAUCUUCCGCAAUGGACGAAAGUCUGACGGAGCGACGCCGCGUGGUGGAUGAAGUCCUUCGGGACGUAAACACCUUUUAUGAGGGAGGAAGUUUAUUGACGUUACCUCAUGAAUAAGGGGCUCCCAAUUCUGUGCCAGCAGGAGCGGUAAUACAGAAGCCCCGAGCGUUACCCGGAUUUACUGGGCGUAAAGGGUGCGUAGGCGGUGAUAUUAGUCUUGUGUUAAAUGUUAGGGCUUAACCUUAACGCUGCAUAGGAAACGGUAUCACUAGAAGAAGCGAGAGGUGAACAGAACUCACGGUGUAGGGGUGAAAUCCGUUGAUAUCGUGGGGAAUACCAAAUGCGAAGGCAGUUCACUGGCGCUCUCUUGACGCUGAGGCACGAA